rnacentral:rRNA from 1 species
AUUGAACGCUGGCGGCAGGCUUAACACAUGCAAGUCGAGCGGGGGAAGGUAGCUUGCUACCGGACCUAGCGGCGGACGGGUGAGAAACACGUAGGAACCUGCCCAGAGGUGGGGGAUAACCAUGGGAAACCGUGGCUAAUACCGCAUAUUUCCCGGAAGGGGAAAGCUGCCCGCAAGGGUGGCGCCUGUGGAGGGGCCUGCGUCCGAUUAGCUAGCUGGUGAGGUAAAGGCUCACCAGGGCGAUGAUCGGUAACUGGUCUGAGAGGACGGCCAGUCACACUGGGACUGAGACACGGCCCAGACUCCUACGGGAGGCAGCAGUGGGGAAUAUUGGACAAUGGGGGCAACCCUGAUCCAGCGAUGCCGCGUGAGUGAAGAAGGCCCUCGGGUCGUAAAGCUCUUUGGGCCGGGAAGAAGUGUGCGCAGUGAAUAGCUGUGCACAUUGACGGUACCGGCAGAACAAGCACCGGCAAACCCUGUGCCAGCCGCCGCGGUAA